AUGGUUAAAGAAGAAAAAGAAGAAAACAGGGGUUCUGUUGAAUUUCAAGUAUUCAGUUUCACCAAUAAGAUACGGAGACUUGCUUCACAUUUGGAAUUACACAAAAAUAUUUUUCAUCGGAAAGAGGUCUACGAAGACUUUUGGGAAAAUGUCGACGUUUGCUGGCUUAUUUGGCAAAGAAAAAUAGAGUACGUUAUAAGAAAUUAA
rnacentral:rRNA from 1 species